rnacentral:rRNA from 1 species
UACGAAGGGGGCUAGCGUUGUUCGGAAUUACUGGGCGUAAAGCGCACGUAGGCGGGUCGUUAAGUCAGGGGUGAAAUCCUGGAGCUCAACUCCAGAACUGCCCUUGAUACUGGCGAUCUCGAGUUCGGGAGAGGUGAGUGGAACUGCGAGUGUAGAGGUGAAAUUCGUAGAUAUUCGCAAGAACACCAGUGGCGAAGGCGGCUCACUGGCCCGAUACUGACGCUGAGGCACGGAAAGCGUGGGGAGCAAACAGG